UUGAAUAUACCGGUUCUCGUUAGAUCACCGAAGUUAAGCAUCAUUGGGCGCGGUCAGUACUUGGGUGGGUGACCACCUGGGAACACCGCGUGCCGUU
rnacentral:rRNA from 1 species